UACGUAGGGGGCAAGCGUUGUCCGGAAUCAUUGGGCGUAAAGCGCGUGUAGGCGGCCCGGUAAGUCCGCUGUGAAAGUCAAGGGCUCAACCCUUGGAUGCCGGUGGAUACUGUCGGGCUAGAGUGCGGGAGAGGCGAGUGGAAUUCCUGGUGUAGCGGUGAAAUGCGCAGAUAUCAGGAGGAACACCAAUAGCGAAGGCAGCUCGCUGGGACGUUACUGACACUGAGGCGCGAAAGCGUGGGGAGCGAACAGG
rnacentral:rRNA from 1 species